CACCCAUCAUCCAGCACUCACACACCCAUCAUCCAGCACCCACACACCCAUCAUCCAGCACUGACACACCCAUCAUCCAGCACCCACACACCCAUCAUCCAGCACCCACACACCCAUCAUCCAGCACUCACACACCCAUCAUCCAGCACCCACACACCCAUCAUCCAGCACCCACACACACAUCAUCCAGCACACACACACCCCAUCCAG